UACGGGGGAUGCAAGCGUUAUCCGGAAUCAUUGGGCGUAAAGCGCCUGUAGGUUGUUUAAUAAGUCUGUUGUUAAAGACUAGGGCUUAACCCUAGGAAAGCAAUGGAAACUACUAGACUUGAGUAUGAUAGGGGUAGAGGGAAUUUCUAGUGUAGCGGUGAAAUGCGUAGAUAUUGGGAAGAACACCGGUGGCGAAAGCGCUCUACUGGACCAUUACUGACACUCAGAGGCGAAAGCUAGGGUAGCAAAAGGGAUUAGAUACCCCUGUAGUCCUAGCCGUAAACGAUGGAUACUAGAUGUUGUGCAUAAUGUACAGUAUCGUAGCUAACGCGUUAAGUAUCCCGCCUGGGGAGUACGCUCGCAAGGGUG
rnacentral:rRNA from 1 species